CCUACGGGAGGCAGCAGUGGGGAAUAUUGCACAAUGGGGGAAACCCUGAUGCAGCGACGCCGCGUGAGUGAAGAAGGAAUUCGUGAUGUAAAGCUCUAUCAGCAGGGAAGAAAAGGACGGUACCUGAGUAAGAAGCCCCGGCUAACUACGGGCCAGCAGCCGCGGUAAGACGGAGGGGGCAAGCGUUAUCCGGAUUGACUGGGUGUAAAGGGAGCGUAGACGGCAGUGCACGUCUGGAGUGAAAGGCGGGGGCUCCACCCCCGGACUGCUCUGGAAACUGUACGGCUGGAGUGCAGGAGAGGUAAGUGGAAUUCCUAGUGUCGCGGUGCAAUGCGUAGCUAUUAGG
rnacentral:rRNA from 1 species